rnacentral:lncRNA from 1 species
GCGUUGUGGAAGCUGAACGACCUCGCCGCCGACCCACCGCUGGUGGCGACGCCGAGGAGAAGGACGAUGAUCAGGUGGAGAGGAAAGAGUUUGAUCAGCUGCCUGCACGUGCUGCAGGUGGAGAUAGCUCCAUUGUUUUUCUUGCCGGCGGCGGCAAUGGGCGUCAUCUCAUCAGCAGUUGGAGACGAGAAGAAGGCCGGUCACGAGAAGAACACCUCGAUACGAUUGAUCGAUCCAUCCAUCUAUCUCGUCGAAUUUAUAAGCGGUACGUGCCAACCUACAAGAAACGAGUAGGACGUACAUGUCAUUCACGCACGAAACCAUCCAUGAACCAUAUGCAGGUAGAUGUGGGUAGCUAGCUAGGAUAGGUGCUAGGGGUUGCGUACGUGGAGG